UGUUUGUUCAGUCAUUAGUUCCCUGCCAAACUACUGCUACUUCCAUGCUUUGUAUAUUUUUUUCUUAAGUCUGGCUUUCUAGUGUCUGCAUUAGGGAGUGAACUGUGUACCCAGCGAAGUGAAUGUAAGUGAGCAUUUCCCUGGAGCUCCAGCAACACCGUAAAUAUUAUGAUGCAGCAGCUUUGUUGUUUGCGUUGCGAACUCGGGGGUCCUGGAUGGGAGAACCCUCAGCAUACGCCCCCUCCACCCCCCCCAAACCCCCCCUCCCCAACGGGAUCCCCAAUCUACCAUCACCCCACAGAAGAACUGACACCCAUCACUGGAGCACAGCCAAAGCCAAACAGCCUCUCUCUAUCACCACAGCACAACAUCGAUCACCACAGCACAACAUCGAUCACCGCAGCACAACAUCGAUCACCGCAGCACAACAUCGAUCACCACAGCACAACACCGAUCACCACAGCACAACAUCGAUCACCACAGCACAACAUCGAUCACCACAGCACAACAUCGAUCACUGCAGCACAACAUCGAUCACCACAGCACAACACCGAUCACCACAGCACAACAUCGAUCACCACAGCACAACAUCACGGGCUUGAAUCCCAUCCCGUUCAGCCUCUCUAUCUCUCCGCUGGAGAUCAUUAAAGGAUUACAGAGACACUUCCUGGUUGUAGUUUCACCAGUACAGAGGGACCAGGUCGCAGACAUGAUGAGGAUCGUUAACACUGGGCGAACGAAACCCCCCGUCAGUCCCUUUCUCACGGCCACACGAUACUUGAGGUACAAAGUCCGCUUCGUCAAAUUUUUUAAACUGUGACACAGCGCACAGAAGCGCGUUGCGGGGGAGCGGGGGGGAGGGAGGGGGGGGGGGCGGGGGGGUGGCGCUACAAGCAGCAGAACUCCCAUCCUCUCCGUUUACGCAGAAGUUGCAUAGCCUGCAUAGUUUUUACGGACACAUACCCCCCUCCCGCUAUCCGCAAUCCUGCAAAAUCUGAUGACAUCGCAUCUCACACGUUUUUCUUUCCUUCUGCUGCCAGUGAGCGGACAGUUUGUCAGACUGUCCGAGUCGACCUUCGAUUUCCCAUCGCAGAUAAGCGGCUCACUUGUCAUUCAUUUCUUAACAUGGCUGCACUGGCAAUGGCACAUGUUCCACUAGUGGUGGUUAUUUCCGCCCUGGUUAUUUCUCCUGGUUAUUUAUAUGCUUGUAUCGGCCGUUUUGUAAAAGUACACCUUAGUGUAGCCUACUGACUUAGGCACUGACGGACAUUUGUUUUUUAUUCGCCUUUUGCUCAACAUCACACACUUCCCUAUGGAACUCGCAACAGCACUGACAGCAGGGUAACGUGCGCAGAGUUGAUUCAACCUUUCGGAGGGCAUAAAAGAGUCCAAUAGGAAUCACGCACGCGUUCGGAGUGAAUGUAGGCUACUCUAUAAGUGUUGAUUUAACACCAAAUGCGCUACUGUUGCGCGGGUGCGUAUGGGGCAUAGCCGUGCGAAACUUUUCGUAAAAUCGAAGUGGGGCUCCCGGAAAAACCUGCUCGAAGCCCCUGUUCUGUUCGCUCAGCUGUUUGUCUUUCACCACUCCGAUACGAGAAUAAGCCGACCGACAACCUUGUCAGAUAGACUAUAACGCUGCCAAUUAUGUAAUAGCAUAAUAGUGUAUGCAAAAUAUAUUUUUUUUAAUAAGCCGGAAAUUUAUAUCUGGAUGUAGGCCUACUUGAAUAGUAUAUUCAAUACCUACAGUUAAAACAGAAAGAGAAAAACAAAGAAUUUAACAAUCGACUCUGACUAUCUUCUCUCAUUAUGUGCAUUUAACGUGGAACGUGAAGAGUUACACAGAUCUUAAAUACCCCUUGUGUGGUUGAAAAUGUCUGUGAGCUGUUCUAAUUUUUGGAAACUUUUUUUAUUUUAUUUUAUUUAGUUGGACCCGUUGGUGGCCUGCCCAGUUGAAAAGGCCACAUCCCAGUCGUGUGAUUGGAAGAUAAAUUUUAUAAAGGAGUCAGACACAGUCUCAAUAUUUAAAUCUAGAUUAAAAACGCACCUCUAUGCUCAGGCUUACAAUCAGUUGUAGUCUGGAGACAGGGUGCGAGAAGCCUGUAGUCAUAGAGCUUUGUAGGUGGCAAUCCUUUCCUUACUGUCACCUAUCAGUCAGCUGUGACCCGACUUUACAUGGGCUGGCUCUUGAUAGGCGGUUGAUGGUAUGGUUGUCUACCCCUCAUGACUGCAUGGGCUCUCCAUCCCUGUCCUAGUAGAUAUGCAGCCAUAUUCUACUCCUGGCGGGGUCCCCCCAAUACAUACCACUGCCACCUUACUCACGGUCUGCUAUAUUGCAAAUUCCUUAAUUGCCUUUCUACCCUCUUCCCCACGCUGCCGGCGGGGCUCUUGCCCCAACCCUCGAGAGAGCUUCGAGAGUCGUCUGGUCUCCCCCACCUCUGCGGUCCAGCCCCUCCCUGCCUCCCUGCCUCCACCCUGCCCACAUCUGUCGCCACCUGCUGUUCCCCAUCACCGCCACCCGGCCCCACCCAUCAUCUGAGCCACAUUGCAUAUCUUAUAAAACUGGCUGACGUGCUGGUCACCAGUCGGCACCCUGAGCCGACCAGAGGAGGAUGGGUUUCCCCCUUGAGCCUGGUUCCUUCCAAGGUUUCUUCCCAACUGCCACAGGGAGUUUUUCCUUGCCACUGUUGCCUUAGGCUUGCUCCUGUGGGGGUUUAGAGGCCAGGGUUGUCUGUAAAGCGUAUUGUGACAACUGCUGUAAAAUACGCUAUACAAAUAAAAUUUGAUUUGAUUUGA